AGAGCGUAUGGCGGAUGCCUAGGCACAGAGAGGCGAAGAAGGACGCAGCAAACAGCGAAAUGCGACGGUUAGCAGUAAGCAUGCAACGAUCCGUCGAUGUCCGAAUGGGGGAACCCACCUGGAGUAGAGACCAGGUAUCCUGAAGUGAAUAAAUAGCUUCAGAGAGGCGAGACUCAGGGAACUGAAACAUCUAAGUACCUGAAGGAAGAGAAAAUAAACGAAUGAUUCCCUAAGUAGCGGCGAGCGAAAGGGGAGGAGCCCAAACCAACCUUAGGGUUGGGGUUGUAGGACCAUGAUAUGGCAAGAAUUUGGCUAAUAGAACGAUAUUGAAAGAUCGACCGCAGAGGGUGCAAGUCCCGUAUAUGAAAGCGAGAGGAAGCCUAAUGGUAUCCUGAGUACGGCGAGACACGAGAAAUCUUGUCGGAAGCAGGCGGGACCAUCCGUCAAGGCUAAAUAUAAACAAGUGACCGAUAGUGAACCAGUACCGUGAGGGAAAGGUGAAAAGAACCGCGGGAGCGGAGUGAAAUAGAACCUGAAACCGUAUGCUUACAAGAAGUCAGAGCUCGUUAAAGAGUGAUGGCGUGCCUUUUGUAGAAUGAACCGGCGAGUUAUGUUAUCGUGCGAGGUUAAGCAGGAGAUGCGGAGCCGAAGCGAAAGCGAGUCUUAAUAGGGCGAGAGUACGAUGACAUAGACCCGAAACCGUGUGAUCUAGCCAUGACCAGGUUGAAGUUCAGGUGAAACUGAAUGGAGGACCGAACCGACCCCCGUUGAAAAGUUGGCGGAUGAGUUGUGGCUAGGGGAGAAAUUCCAAUCGAACCCGGAUAUAGCUGGUUCUCCCCGAAAUAGCUUUAGGGCUAGCGUCGAGGCUUAGUCAUGUGGAGGUAGAGCACUGAAUGUACGAUGGCCCCAUCCCGGGGUACUGAGUAUAAUCAAACUCCGAAUGCCAUAAGAUAUGCCCGGCAGUCAGACCGUGGGUGAUAAGGUCCAUGGUCAAAAGGGAAACAGCCCAGACCGCCAGUUAAGGUCCCAAAAUGUAUGCUAAGUGGAAAAGGAUGUGGGGAUGCACAGACAACUAGGAGGUUGGCUCAGAAGCAGCCACCCUUCAAAGAGUGCGUAACAGCUCACUAGUCGAGUGACCCUGCGCCGAAAAUGUACCGGGGCUAAGCAUACUACCGAAGCUGCGGAUUUGUAGAGAUACAAGUGGUAGGGGAGCGUUGCAUGCACGUGGAAGCCAUAUCGUGAGGAGUGGUGGAGAGCAUGGAAGUGAGAAUGCCGGUGUGAGUAGCGAGAUGUAGGUGAGAAUCCUACACACCGAUAGCCCAAGGAUUCCAGGGGAAGGUUCGUCCGCCCUGGGUAAGUCGGGACCUAACGCGAGGCCGAAAGGCGUAGUGGAUGGAAAACAGGCAGAUAUUCCUGUACCCGCGAUGGGAAGUGAAGGAAUGACGGAGAAGGCUAGCAUGACCCACUGAAUGGAUUGUGGGCGAAGCGGAGCAGCAGGUAUGUAGUGAAAUGCGCAUACGAAAUGCAGGACGUGAUAGGUAAGUGAACGUUUCGACAAGUAACGAAGCAUGUGAGGCCAGCUUCCAAGAAAAGUUUCUAAGCGAUUAAUCCCAUAGCGGCCCGUACCAAAACCGACACAGGUGGGCAAGGAGAGGAUCCUGAGGUGAGCGAGAGAACUGUUGCCAAGGAACUCGGCAAAAUGACUCCGUAAGUUAGCGAUAAGGAGUGCUUAUGUAAAAGUAAGCCGCAGUGAAGAGGCCCAAGCGACUGUUUAACUAAAACACAGCUCUCUGCGAAGUCGCAAGACGAAGUAUAGGGGGUGACGCCUGCCCGGUGCUGGAAGGUUAAGAGGAUUUGUCAGUCGCAAGAUGAAGCAAUGAAUUGAAGCCCCAGUGAACGGCGGCCGUAACUAUAACGGUCCUAAGGUAGCGAAAUUCCUUGUCAGGUAAGUUCUGACCCGCACGAAAGGCGUAACGAUUUGGGCGCUGUCUCGGCAGCAGACUCGGUGAAAUCUUAGUACCUGUGAAAAUGCAGGUUACCCGCAACUAGACGGAAAGACCCCAUGGAGCUUUACUGUAGCUUGAUAUUGAGCUUUGAUCAGAGAUGUACAGGAUAGGUGGGAGACGAAGAGACGUGCACGCCAGUGUACGAGGAGUCGACGUUGGGAUACCACUCUUGUCUGAUUGAAGUUCUAACCUACACCCAUGAACUGGGUGAGGGACCGUGUCAGGCAGGCAGUUUGACUGGGGCGGUCGCCUCCUAAAGAGUAACGGAGGCGCCCAAAGGUACGCUCAGAUUGGAUGGAAAUCAAUCGACGAGUGCAAAUGCAGAAGCGUGCUUGACUGUGAGACAAACAAGUCGAACAGGGACGAAAGUCGGGAUUAGUGAUCCGGCGGUGCCGAAUGGAAGGGCCGUCGCUCAACGGAUAAAAGCUACCCUGGGGAUAACAGGCUGAUCUCCCCCA
rnacentral:rRNA from 1 species